rnacentral:rRNA from 1 species
UACAGAGGGUGCAAGCGUUAAUCGGAAUUACUGGGCGUAAAGCGUGCGUAGACGGUUACAUAAGUCGGGUGUGAAAGCCCCGGGCUCAACCUGGGAAUUGCAUUCGAGACUGCGUAGCUAGGGUGCGGAAGAGGGAAGCGGAAUUUCCGGUGUAGCGGUGAAAUGCGUAGAUAUCGGAAGGAACACCAGUGGCGAAGGCGGUCUGCUGGGCAGUUGCUGACACUGAGGCGCGACAGCGUGGGGAGCAAACAGG